GAAUUCAGUAGUGAUUCAGGCCUAACACAUGCAAGUCGAGCGGGGUUUUCGGACCUAGCGGCGGACGGGUGAGUAAUGCGUAGGAAGCUACCCGAUAGAGGGGGAUGCCAGUUGGAAACGACUGUUAAUACCGCAUAAUGUCUACGGACCAAAGUGUGGGACCUUCGGGCCACAUGCUAUCGGAUGCGCCUACGUGGGAUUAGCUAGUUGGUGAGGUAAUGGCUCACCAAGGCGACGAUCUCUAGCUGGUUUGAGAGGAUGAUCAGCCACACUGGAACUGAGACACGGUCCAGACUCCUACGGGAGGCAGCAGUGGGGAAUAUUGGACAAUGGGCGCAAGCCUGAUCCAUCAAGGCCGCGUGUGUGAAGAAGGCCUUCGGGUGUAAAUUAAAUGGAGUAGGGAGGAAGGGUUAAGUGUUAAUAGUAC
rnacentral:rRNA from 1 species